rnacentral:rRNA from 1 species
GACGAACGCUGGCGGCGUGCCUAAUACAUGCAAGUUGAGCGCUGAAGGUUGGUACUUGUACCGACUGGAUGAGCAGCGAACGGGUGAGUAACGCGUGGGGAAUCUGCCUUUGAGCGGGGGACAACAUUUGGAAACGAAUGCUAAUACCGCAUAAAAACUUUAAAUACAAGUUUUAAGUUUGAAAGAUGCAAUUGCAUCACUCAAAGAUGAUCCCGCGUUGUAUUAGCUAGUUGGUGAGGUAAAGGCUCACCAAGGCGAUGAUACAUAGCCGACCUGAGAGGGUGAUCGGCCACAUUGGGACUGAGACACGGCCCAAACUCCUACGGGAGGCAGCAGUAGGGAAUCUUCGGCAAUGGACGAAAGUCUGACCGAGCAACGCCGCGUGAGUGAAGAAGGUUUUCGGAUCGUAAAACUCUGUUGGUAGAGAAGAACGUUGGUGAGAGUGGAAAGCUCAUCAAGUGACGGUAACUACCCAGAAAGGGACGGCUAACUACGUG